ACCCAGCAGACGAGGAUUGGCACACCGGAUGGAGAUAAGGGAGAUAAAAGCGGCUGCUAUGCUUAAAAAGCAGACAGCGAGGGACAGGACUUUGCCCUCUGGGAGAGAGAAAGGAGUCCACAGUGGAUGAUGGGCAAAACAGGAACACGUAAACCCAAGGGACUGCAAUUCACCAGCCGACUGGCUCGCAACCUUCACUACCAACUACCUUGACAAAACAGAAUGGUGCGGACUACCAGGCUUUCUUUCAACCACAGGAGAAGGUCCUUUCCAGGCCUGAUUGACUUGUUUGCCAUGGGUGGACUCAUUGAAUUCCAAGCCAGUCUUCUUGACAGUCAUGUUUAGCUACACUUGACAGGUAUUCAUAACCAAUGUAAACUAAGGCAUGUUUCCUAUAUGAGGUGGAUUUGUAAUACUUUGAAGAGCAGUCAGUAUUUUCUUGACACACUCUAAGAUAUAUUCUGUUUCCAGUUAAAUUCUCUCCCAUUUCUCUAAUCCAACCACUACUAAGUAUAGACAAAGGGCCUCUACAAACUGUGGU